rnacentral:rRNA from 1 species
AUUGAACGCUGGCGGCAGGCUUAACACAUGCAAGUCGAGCGGAGAUGAGGUGCUUGCACCUUAUCUUAGCGGCGGACGGGUGGGUAAUGCUUAGGAAUCUGCCUAUUAGUGGGGGACAACAUUCCGAAAGGAAUGCUAACACCGCAUACGUCCUACGGGAGAAAGCAGGGGAUCUUCGGACCUUGCGCUAAUAGAUGAGCCUAAGUCGGAUUAGCUAGUUGGUGGGGUAAAGGCCUACCAAGGCGACGAUCUGUAGCGGGUCUGAGAGGAUGAUCCGCCACACUGGGACUGAGACACGGCCCAGACUCCUACGGGAGGCAGCAGUGGGGAAUAUUGGACAAUGGGGGGAACCCUGAUCCAGCCAUGCCGCGUGCGUGAAGAAGGCCUUAUGGUUGUAAAGCACUUUAAGCGAGGAGGAGGCUACUGAGACUAAUACUCUUGGAUAGUGGACGUUACUCGCAGAAUAAGCACCGGCUAACUACGUGCCAGCAGCCGCCGCAGUAA